GGGAGAAAGGGGAGCGUGUUCCCCUGGGAGGGCGCAAAGCGAAGCAGCAGGCUGAGCGAAUGAGGUGGUAUUCAUACAUCAUCAGAAUAGCAUCAGAAGCGUCUCCACAGGUUUCUUUCCUGCUAUGGGCAUUUGUGUAUGGGUUUUUUUCUUGCAUUUGUACCGUCGGAUAAACUCCAUAGUUCUUUCUUCUUGUUUCUCUGAUUUUUAUUUCGUUCAGGUGACAGCUUGCCGAAUUUUGAUGCAGUAAGUCUAUAACUGCGCUUAAGGAUUCUCCAUCGGCCGUGCCAGUUGCCAUUUUGUGGCGCUUUUGUGUAAAGUAUGCCCAACUAGUUUAAAAGUUUAAUGUUUUUCCCACAAAGCAGUUUGAGGUGUUGUGCUAUUUUUCCUUUGAAGAAUGUCCGUGACAGUUACCCAGAAAACACAAACAGGAUAAACAGAGAGUUCUUCCUUUUCUCAAACCAUUCUCUCUCAUUUAGGUGAGGUGUAGCUGGAAACUGUAAAGUGUUUCUAAGCUUAUGGGAGUGUGUAGUAAUUUAGGCACUGCUGUGUUCCCGAUCCCUAAAUACAAGUCAAGCCAUUUUCUUCUUCUUCCUCAGCAAUGUAAAUAUAAUCUCAUGAAAAAAAUUGACCAAGGUAAUUUUAAGACUUCCUAAUAUAUAAUAAGUCUAGUCUAAUAAAGGUAUCUAUGAAUGUUAAAAAGUAACUGGGAACUGCUAAAAUCAACCAGGAAAAGAAGAGAAUGGCAAAUGUAUUUAACCUUUUUUUCCCUUACAUUUUUUCUCCCAUUUGUUCCUUCUGAGCUCAGCUGGUGUAUAAAAGGAGUUAAUGAUGAUAAUGAGCUUACAUUUACAGUGCCUUUUUUUCUGAAGAGUCCCAAAGGGCAUUACAAGCAGAUAUGAUAAAUUCACUGCUUGUUCUUAAAGGGUACUGGGGAUUAUUGCUGCUGGCUUUUAUGUGAAAGAAGCAGACAGGAGCCAGCAGACAUACUGCCCUUCUACAUACUUCUGCAAAAAUAUAGAUCAUCAAGAAGAAGGUUAAGCAAUGUUUGGUUGGCAUCACUGAUCCUGUAACGGUGAGAUAAGAACUGAGCUCUGCAUAGGUUUUAUGUGUCGGCAUAUCACAUGCUUUAUAAUGGAGAAAAAAUAUGUCUGAAGACAAAGAAAAGUCUUAUACACUAUUAUCUUUUUCACAUUUCUUUUGGUUCAUUAAGUAUUUUGUUUGUUGCAAAGAACAGCAAGUACAGAAAAUUUGGAUUUUGUCGAUUGUAUUCAGCCAAGCUAAGAAUGUCUUUUGCUGGCUUUAAAACAGUUGAUUUGUCAUGUUUACUAUUGCUGCUCUGUUAAAUACUGAAAGUUAGUGUCUGAAAAUUACAUUUUUCAAAUCUCUUUGGUCCAAAAUAUUUAUUUGAAAUUUUGCUGCAGUCCAUGUAAUUUCUGAGGUUUUGUUUGUUUGAGUUUUUUUAGGGAAGGAGUUCAUUGUGGGGUAUUUUGAGGCUGAUGAUGCAUUUGUCCCAUGUUUUUCAAAUAAUUCUGUUUCUUCUUACGAUAUUUCUUUAGGAUAAAGCUCCUACUCCAUUACUUUCUGAUACAGCCUACAGUUCACUCAGGCUUUCACAACUCUGCUGAAGAAGUUGUACAUGUUUUGACAGUCUUUCUACCAAUUCAUGCAUCAGCCUAGAAACAAUCUUGAAAAGCACAAGCAGACUUUUAUAUUUAUAAGAUGCUUAAAGAAAAAAAAUAGAACCCAACCCAAAACAUUUUUCUCUGUUAUAUGGGGGAACUGAAAUUCAUAGAUGUUUUUGCAGCCAAAAUCUAUAAAAGGAACACCAAUAAGCAUGUUCCUACAUGAAAAAAAAAAUAAAAAAAUUGAAAGGUUUCCAAAUACAUUUAUUCUGUUCUGUUGGUGUUCUACGAUAUUUCAUCUAUGAUAAAAAAAUCAAUAGGCUUUCAAUGCCUGCACUGCUGGAUUUUUUUGACAUCUCCAGUAUUCAUUACCUGAAUAAGUAAUACUGAACAUGUUAUUGUGUUUCAGUGAGAAGGGAUUAUUGCUGUUCUUUUUGCCUCUCCUCAGGGUUUGUGGAAUCACAGAAUGGUUUGUGUGGGAAGGGGCCUUCAAGAUCAUCUGGUUCCAGCCCUCCUGCCAUGUACCUUCCAUAGACGAGGAUGCUCAGAGCCCCAUGCAACCUGACCUUGAACACUUCUAGGGACAGGGCAUCCACAGCUUCUCUGGGGAACUUGUUCCUCACCACCCUCACAUCUCUUCUGUUAGCAUCAUUCUUCUGAUCAUCUUCACAAGUUUCUGUACAGAAAGUGCUCAGACAGUAAAGAUCUCAAUACUAAAGAGUUUGACUGUUUCAACAAAUUUGGAGCCAUAAACCCUAAAAAGCACAAACUGGUGUUCAAAGUUUCAAGUCAGACUGCCACUGUGAUAAAGAUACUCAGCACAACCACUGCUCCUGUGAGUCACUGCUUGUCCUAGUUUGUUAUUUAAUGCAAACCCGAAGUUCCAGGGAAAUUAAGAUCUGAACUGUGGUAACUUCUCAGUUAUGCUCCAUGAACUGUGGAAGAUCUUUGAGGCCAUAAUAAAGGUUUCACGGCUGUUGUGGAGAAACUGAUGGAAGAAUGGGAGCUCCACCAUUUCUAGUUGCAGCCAUAGUGACAAAUUCCAAAGAAUUUCAAAAGGUUUUGGCAGCACUGCUGUCCUUGGGAUGGCCAAGAUUGCCCAGCACCUCCUCUCAUCCAGCCUGCAGUCCAGCCAAGAGUGGGUGAUCACAUGUAUCUCAGAGUGGCAGAGGAGUUGAGUGGCAUCUCAGUAGCUGGUUUUAAGCAGCCUUGUGCAGCUAUAAAGAGAAAUUUAAAAAAUAAGAGGAAGGGGAGCUGAGAAAGACUCUGAAAGACAAAGAGGGAGAGAAGUCAAGAAGGCUAGCAGAAAAAAAAAAGUCAUGAGUAAGGAAGAAGGGAUUCUCUUGAGAGAAUGUGAGGAAAAGAAGAAGAACUUACAGAAUAGAAUGGAAAAGAGAGAGACUGUAGUAUGGAUGCUGCUUCGUCCCUUGGAAUCAUGGAGCAGACAUCUUUAGAUUAUUUGUCCAUAGUCCCUGUUAUUAUCUCCUGGUAUUAUGGUCCCUGUGUCUCCCUUACAUGUGCAUUUCAAGAUUUUUCUGUACUUUGAUAUGCUAAAAUGUAUUUAAUAGUUAACAAAACCUUACUUUUUUGUCAGGGAGGUGAUUUUCUCCUUUCCUGUGCCACUUUAAACUACUAAAUAUAUGGCUUGGACAUGCAUUAACUUGUGAGUCCAAUGAAGUGCACUCCAAACAGACAUUUGUAUCAUAAAUAGCAUAUAUUAAUUACCCCUUCAUUGCUAGGCUAACUCUAGGCCAUUGCUUUGAGUGUAGAAGAUGCUUGUUUUUUUCUGCUGUGGGCUUUCCCUUCUUCAAUGCAGUAGCUUGAUACUUCACUUUUCUUUCUUUUUUUUUUUUUUUUUUUUUUUUUUUUUUUUUAUUUUUUUUUUUUUUUUUUUUUUUUUUUUUUUAAUUUAGACUUUAGGUUUUUAUUUCCUUCCAUUGUCACAUUACUCUCAGUUGUUUCAUCUGUCAAGGUAAUUCACAUAUUGUUUACCUUUUCUUUGAGCUUAUUAAUGAAGUUAUUAAAAUAAUAAACCACUUCAUACCUUGCAGGAGACCCACUGCCUACUUCCCCACAACUUGGUGCAAUCUGCUGCCAUUUCUCAUCAGCCAGUGUUUGUGAUCCUUCAGCCUGUUUUCAAUUUACAUGACAGUGCUUACGUCCAAAGCAAUUUGGAUUCAUUUUGGGAGAUUUAGUAAGACACUGUAUUGAAUCCUUUAUUAAAAUCAUGCUGUGUAUCUCUCAUCCAGGAUUUUUGCAGUUCUAUCAAAAAAGCAAUCACGUUUCCUUGGCACGACGUGUUCCUUAUGAACCCAUGCUGCUUAUUGCUCAUUGUACCAUUAUCCUUUGAAUGUUUAGAAGAGUAUUUUGGAGUCAUGAGUUUUGUUUCUUUUUUCUGUUUAUUUUCUUUUUCCCCUUAGCAAAUGUUCUUUCUCAUUACAGAAUAUGAUUGAAAUUAAACUCCUUGUUUAAUAAAGCACACUUCUUCCCUUUAUUGAUGUUUGAGGCUAUAUUUCCUAUGCCAUAUGACUUUUCACAAAUAGUUUUUGAGGGCUUACUCUUUUCAUUGUGCACUCAGGAAUGCAUUUAACAUGGGCUAAUUGACUGGAUACAACUGUUUUUCUUACUUUUGUGCUAUCCAUAGCAAAUUUUUCUUGUCCUGAUUUUGGCUAGGAUAGAGUUAAUUUUCUUUGUAGAAGCUGGUGUAGUGGUGUGUUUUGGAUUCAGUAGGAGAAGAACCGUUGUUUUAACACUUUGAUGUUUUAAUUGUUGCAUAUUACUGCUUACCGUGAGUCAAGGACCUUUCAGUUGGCUCCUGCUCUGGUGUUGAGGAGCUGCACAGGAAGCUGGGAGGGAGCAUGGCCAGGACAGGUGACCUGAAUGUGUUCUGUACCAUGGAACAUCACCCCUGUGUAAAAACUGGGAGAAGUUUCCUGGGAGCUGCUUGAGGAUGGGCUGGGCAUUCGUCAGUGGAUGGUGAGCAGUUGUCUUGUGUAUCACUUGUUUCUCUUGGGUUUUAUUCCUCUCUUGGUUUUAUAUCAUUAUUAUUACUUAUGUAACUAUUAUUAUAUUUUAUUUUAAUUAGUAAAAUGCUCUUAUCUCAACCCCGAGGCUGCACCUUUUUGUGAUCCACUUUCCCAUCCCACCAGGGAAGGAGGCUUGGGAGAGAGUGAGGGGCUGUGUUGCCAACUGUGGCUAAACCAUGAAACUUGUUUUCAGUCAAACCUGCUUUCAAUGAGAACAAAUAAGAAAUACAUGUGGGAAACGUGAGUUUUGCCCACCUCUCUCCCACCAAAGUAGCCCUACAUUUGAACCAUGUUUGCAUAAAUUUUAUAUAUUUUAACAGUCCCCUUUGGUAUCAUUAACUUGUUCUUGGCUCUAUCCUGAGAGACAUUGAACACUUUGACAGAGGUCUAUUGUAAUUGUAAGAAUAUAUUUUCUUUUCAUUGCCCAAGUCAUCCUGCAGGAAUUUGGAUAUUCCCCAGUUUUGGGAAUAUUCAUAUAUUCAAGUUAAGCACAAGAUUUUAUGCUUUGCUGUUGCUCAUACAAGAUCUCUUCUACAGUUCAUCUUUUUCCUGAAGAGUAGCCCACUGUAUGUAUUGUCUGCAUAAGUAAUCACAGCACCCUAGGGAGAAGAGUUAUUUAAAACUAUGAUAAAUGUCAUACACGUUCUCCCUUUCAUGACUUAUUUGUUCUCUAUUAAGGUCAGAUCCAAGUUGUAGACAAUUAAUUUUUAUCACACCCUUACUUGUCAAAUGUCGCAUUUUUGCUUAGGGUUCUCUUUUCUGUUUUGAUUUGCUUUGGGGUUUUUUUCCUAUUUUUUUUCUUUUUCCUCUCUCCCACUUCUGUAUUCCAUGAUGAAUUGAUAGCUUCUGAAGGAUGACAGGGAAUAAGAAGAUCAGCUAAUUGCAUCUCAGAAGCUGGUGGGUUACUUUUUGUGCAUUUUUAUGUUAUGACCUUGUGAGAAACAUUUCUGCAACUUCUUGUAGAUACACUGUAUUAAAAAAAAAUUCUUUAUUUGUUUCAAAGGCUGAAAUCCUUGCCUUCUAUAGCAUUGUCCCAAUUUGCCAGCAUCGGUUAAUGAGGACAUAGUAUAAAGUCACUGGUAAUGUCAGCAGGUCAUUAAGGAGAAGAAGCAGUCAGGGAUGCCAGCUCUUCUGUCACUGGUCUUUUGAAUCACAGAUGUCCAGGACCACAGAAGGCAUCUGAGGGUGUUGGUAAAAGCUGCCUGUGGUGAUGUUAAAUUAGGCUGUGCUUUUUCUACAGAAAUAGCAUCAGCACUUCUCUUUGUAUAGGUGUAAACCUCAGUUUACUGCAUGAGUUAGUAUAUUCUUCUCUUAAAAACAUCAGUGAAUACCCUAAUUUAAGAAAUGACCUUUGGUACCAGAAUGUGUCUGUCAAGUAAAAUAUCAUUAGAAGGCACUUGUUAUUUGUACCCAGUAAUAAAUUCUAGGAUACUUUUUACAAGACUGAAAAUAUCUUGACACUGAGAGCAUGGUCAUUUCCCGUAGCAGAAAUGUCUUCACUUCAGUGGUAAGUAAAUUACUUGUAGAGUGUGACACAUUUUUGGCUGUGGCUGUUCUUUGCUCACCAGGCCAGCAAAGAUACAGAGAGUUAAAGUAAAUUUCCUUUUAGCCACUUUGACUCUAAAGCUUCUAAAAAUGCUUUGAGGUUCAGGGAUGCUCACAGAAAUAGUGAAAUAGCCCUGGACUGUCAUCUGCAGCCCUCUUUCCUCCUGAGGGGUGUCACAGAGCCAUGCUAGAUGAUGUUUGGCAAUCAGCAACUUUCUUAAAUCAGGGAAAAGUCACUUGCCUUGUUUUAGCUGCUUUUUAAUAUAUGUAGUUCAUAGCACAAGGAGACCAGAGAAAAAAAGGUCAAGGAUCCAGUCUGAUCACUGUAAAGAGCUUUAGAAAUAUGUUAUUGACCUCCCAAAGAACUUAAUUCCAUGGAAGCCUGAACAGCAGAGAAAGCCAUAUGUUUUCUGGAAGAAAAAUAUAUUACUGGCUGGAAGAGGUUAUUGCAAUUGUUUUAAAAAAUAGUAAUUCAAAUUUCCAAAUUAAAUAAUCUUGAAUACCCUUUCAAAUGACUAUGGUUUGAAAGAAAGCUAAUGGCAAUCAUUUUUCUCUCUACCUUUCAUUCCAGAAUGAAAGUUAAGGGUUAUUAAAGUCUAAUUGUGAAAUGAAUACUAUCUCUUGAUAAUGCCUUUUUUUUCCACUUAGCAUCCGCUGUAAAACCGUAUUUCAUCUGGGUGCUGGCAAAAUGUUAGCUUCCUGUAGAGUGAAACACAUGCAUUUCAUGUGGCACACAUGUAUCAUAUGUGAGCCUGGCUGAAUUGUAUGUUGCUGUGAGCUAAGGUUUCUGCCACAUCCCCUAUAACGGUAAGGAGCAGCAGCAGUGAUUUAUGUGAAGAAUUUUCAAAAUGUGUUUAAUUAAUAUUUUAAAUAGGGAUGGGCUGGGCUAUUGUGUUUGUGAAGAUCCUUCUGUUUUCAGGCUGAGCCUGUCUGAAAAGCACUCAUCGUUCAGCUCGAGUCACUCACUGGAACAUUGCUUAAAAUGAAGGGCUGCUCUUUCUAACCUCUUGCAAGGAAGGCUUUAGCCAGAGCCAGAAAACAGAGCUCAGCCCAAGCUGCCAGCUUGUUAGCGUGAGAUUCCCGCCUCCAUAGAAGUCUUUGGAUUAAUGACUUCAGACAGACAGAUGUGAGACUCAGAGGCCAUGUGUGGGGGAAGGGGUUUCUUGUCAGAAGGCCCUGGAGUGUUCUUGGUGAUGAGAGUAGCUUUAUUCCCUGAAAAAUAUGGGGAGUUGACUGAGCAACUCUGAAGGAAGGCUGGAAAAAUGGAAGGAAAAAAUAUAAAUAUUGCAGUUAUCUUUGUGCUGCAAAGUAAUGCACAGCAGCUGCUCUGAGUCCAUCCAAGAAAACACCCUUCUUUUUCUGUGUUCAGUGUAAAAAUCUUAAGCUGAGUUCUCCACAUCUGAGUACAGUAAUGUUACCAGUGCGUUGUUGCUGAUGGAAGUGAUCCGAGUUUCCCAUGAGCCAUCAUUGCAGGAAAAACAGAUUUCUGUGGGGUAGAAGAUUUUAUAAGCACCAAAUCUGUCAUAGCAAAUCCAUCAAGGUUAUCCCCUGCACACUAGCUUUCCUGCUAUGCUAUCAAAAAUAAAUAAAAUCAAAUGAAAUCUAAACAUCUUCAUCAAGCCCUUAUAUUAUUAAUGAGGAAAUACCCUAUGGGGCACAAGUUACAGUAUGCACAUUGUUCAAUAAAAUAUUUGCAUGUUCUGUGACAUCUGUAGAGUGCAAGAGUCUGUAGUCUUGAAUGGUAUUUGGAAUGCAAUUGUGCACACAGAAGAGGCAAAUAGAAAAGUUACACAUAUUUUUAAUAAUAAAAUGUAUUUAUUUAUAUUCAUUUAUAAUUAUAAAAUUAUUCUGGAAAUACAAAAAUGCAGAACACUGAUAUCCUGAAAUGAUUUCUUUACAUGUUGUGUAUUCCAAUUUAAUAUUAAUUGCAUUUUUAUAACCUGUAUGUUGUAACUACACAUAUGCACGUGCACUGUUUCACACAAACAUGUACUCUGUCAUACACUUAUUAAAGUAUAUGUCACACAUUC